GAAAUAAUAUCCGUAGACUUUUUUAAAACGCAUCUUGCCUUACUAUUUUGUAAAGCCAUUUUAUUUUUAGUUAAUACAAACGUCCAUGAUCGCUAGAAAUAGUAACUCCCCCCUCCCCCUACCACAAUGUUGGUUCAAACCAUGGUUAUUGGACCACAAACCAACAUUGUAAACGGGGAAGGGGGAAAUUGGGAGAUUUUUGAAAAGUCUACGAAUUGCUCUUCCGAUCUCUAUAAAAAUACGGCACUUAGUCAUUUUCGACCCGAAACAAAGGUUACUAUAUUAUAAUACCUGAUUCUCUUUUUGACUGAAAUUACUUUAUUUACCAUGUGCAAGGUUGCUGUGUACUUUUUUUUGGGGGGGG